GUAGGUGGCAAGCGUUGUCCGGAAUUAUUGGGCGUAAAGCGCGCGCAGGCGGUUCUUUAAGUCUGAUGUGAAAGCCAACGGCUCAACCGUGGAGGGUCAUUGGAAACUGGAGAACUUGAGUACAGAAGAGGAAAGCGGAAUUCCACGUGUAGCGGUGAAAUGCGUAGAGAUGUGGAGGAACACCAGUGGCGAAGGCGGCUUUCUGGUCUGUAACUGACGCUGAGGCGCGAAAGCGUGGGGAGCAAACAGGGAUUAGAUACCCUGGUAGUCCACGCCGUAAACGAUGAGUGCUAAGUGUUAGGGGGUUUCCGCCCCCUUAGUGCUGCAGCUAACGCAUUAAGCACUCCGCCUGGGGAGUACGGCCGCAAGGCUG
rnacentral:rRNA from 1 species